rnacentral:lncRNA from 1 species
CAAGGGGAUGGGUGAGGAUUGACUGGUGCGUAGGGAAGCUGGAAAUAUGUUACAAGGAAAACUUGGUUAAGGACUGACAGUGGGAGAGGAAUGUUAAAGUUUAUGAUUCUUUACCAAGGUAUUUCCAACAACUACAAAUAUACAGUAAUUCUUUUUAAUUUUAGCUGUAUGUCCUAUUUUAUCCAGAAAAUGCUGCCUAAUAUGGUGUUAUAAAUUUUAAAAAUUUCACAUAUAACAAUUAAAAAUGGAAGAUUUUAAUUUUUAUUAAAUAAAAAUUGGCCUGUAGCACUCCAGUUGUAAGGGUGCUUUUUAAGCCUACAAACAUGUCAACAGUCUGAAAUCGGAGCUCACUCUAUAAAUUUACACUACUGCCCAUUUCCUAUUGUGUGUGUGUUGUGCCUAUUUCCCUUGUUUGAAGCUAAUCCCAGGUACGUCAGUCUUAAGAGUGAGCAAUCGAUUAUAAUUCUACACAUAAAUAAAAUUCAGUGCUUUUCUUAAAGAUAAUUUGUCAUUUCCAUAGUAAAAUAUAUGAACAUUAUAUUUUAAUGACUUUAUCCAAAGAAGUUCUUCACUUUUUAUAUGUGCUGUCUUGGGCUAAAAGGAAAAGUUGUACUUGUGGUGAUACAUGUAGUCUAAAUGUUUAGCUUCAAGGAUUAGUUACUGUCUCUGGAUGUGAGCAUAGUCACCUUGUUCCGCAGCAUACUUCUGCUCCUGUAAAGCAGUAGGAUGCAAGUAGAUUCUGUUAGGCUGGGAAGCACGGAGGGUAAUGCGAUGUUAAGUUCAUUAGAUCAGUCCUGUAACCAUGUUCUGAUGCUUCAUGUCCUCUCGUUUUGUUUUGUUCUUGUGUGUCACAUUCGAAAGCUUUGGUUUUCCGUGGAAGUAUUAAUAGCUGCUCCUUAUUAAUUCAGGGUACCAGUUACAUUGAGUCUUCGAAAUGCUAGAAACAACCCUCUACAUUUGUUUCCUCUCAUGAAAAUUGUAUUAUUCAGAACAUUCUCUAACUCUGAAAUUUCUUUGUUACUUUUCUAACUUCCAAUAAUGUUCCUGAAUAAAUCUAGAUCUUUUAUCUAGUAUCUGGGUAGUAUAGUACAGCUGGUGUAAAAUUCCAGUUAUUCCAUAAGUGGUUUAUUAUUGUAAGUGAAUCAUGGUUUUAUGUUCUAGAUGUUUAAUUGACCACUUUUGCAUUUAGUUUUGGGAUAAAUUUUCAUCUCAAGCUAUCUAUUGUUUUUGUUCAGAGGUCUACAAAUACUCAGAGUAUGGAAGACAUAUAUAUUGUUUUAAGUUUUGAAUAUGACAUUUAUUCUAAUUGUUCAUUGCCGCAUUCUUUAGCUGACACAGUUCAGAUAGGUUUUGUUUUUUGUCUUAAUUAUGUUUCUAGAAAGGAUGUUCAAAGAAGUCUUGCUUCUGUCGAUUGUCCCCGUUUUCUUGGGAAAUUUUAUUAUGUUUCUUCUUCCAAGGAGGAUAUUUUAGAUGGAAUCAGACAGCUAUUGGCUGAUUAUUUGUGUCUGAGUUUUUAAUGUAUUUGCUGUAAGAUUGUACGUCGUGUGUGAUGUCAAUGAAGUGCUAGUGAAACAGGUUAGAAUCAUCGGCAGAACUGUUUGCAUGACCUCCAAGUUCCUCCCUUCACAUGUUGUUUACUUUCAUACAGGUCCUCAUGCUGACACCGCCAGUGGAUGCCAGAAUUUGCAGUGUGGUUUUCGAGCCUGCUGCCGCUCUGGCGAAUGACCCUUGACUUCUGACCUUUGUCUACUUCAUUUAGCUGAGCAGGCUUCCUUUCAUGCACUUUACUUAUAGCACAUUUCUUGUGUUAACCCAUUUUGGGUGUGUCUUGUUUUGGCCCCAUUUCUUACAGUCUCAGAAAUUUAAUUUAGCAGUGAACUGUACAAUGUUGUUUUUCUUUGCAAAAUAUAUUUUUGUUUUAGAAAAGGAUUAGGAUUUUUUGUUAGGGUGAGAACAGUCUUUCUGGUUUCUUUUAAAUGAAAUGCUUUAAAAAGAAUAGCACUAAUACCAUGCUAUUUAAAAUAUUUUUAGAUUAUUUACAUUUUAGUCAAUGGGGGUUAUUGGUUCUCUUAUGUGUAAACACUGUACCAAGUUUUGCAGCUCCUUUCAAAUAUACAUUUCUGAAGAUUUAUUUUCAAAGUCUGAACAUUUUAGAAAUGAAUCUCUUUUCCCCUAAUGUUUUCUUUAUUUCAACAAUUCUCAGGGGCCAAUUCAAACACACUUAGAAGCGAGAUUCUUUAAGAUUAUAGAAUAAGUUGGCCUCUUGGUGCCGGCCCAGUGAGCCAGCAGAACAGCAGUCUGUUUCUAUUGCUGUAGACACCUGCUUCCACGGCUGUCCCUAAACUGUUGAAUUCGGGAGGUAUUUUUAAAAAUUCCACAAUUGUUUGAAGAAAUGUAUAAAUAAAAUCUACUUUGAGAACUUUACCAAGCAA